CCUUCACUAAGAUCUUCUUGAUAACUCCAUAGCCAUCCCCUGCAAUUCAGAGCAGAGCAGAGCAGAAACAGAGCCUCCCCUGUUCUAUUUCCUUUCUCCGCCGCACUCCGAUGGCUUCCUUCUCCCACUCUCUCACCACGCCUCCACCCUCUCUCUCUCUCCACACCCACAACAACCGCCUCCUCUCCGGCGCCUCCCUCCUCCCCAAUCUCAUCAAACCCACCGCCUUCUCUGCAAAUUUACACCUCUCCCACCGCCGCCGCGGCUUCACAAUCAAAGCCACCGCUGCUCCGAGCGUGAAGAAACCCACCGGCGAUGAGCGAGUCCAGCAAGUCCACAGCGCGGAGGAGUUCGAUGAAGCCCUUAAGAAAGCCAAGAGCAAGCUGGUUGUGGUGGAAUUCGCUGCCUCACACAGCGCGCAGAGCAGCCGGAUGUACCCGUUCAUGGUGACACUCAGCAAAACGUGUAACGAUGUGGAGUUCAUUUUGGUGAUGGGCGAUGAAUCGGAGCAAACCAAAGAGCUCUGUAACAGAGAGAAAAUCGAAAAGGUUCCUCACUUCAGCUUCUACAAGAACAUGGAGAAGAUCCACGAGGAGGAAGGGAUCGGGCCGGAUCAGCUGGAGGGCGACGUAUUAUACUACGGCGACAACCAUUCAGGAGUUGUUCAGCUACACAGCAGGGAGGAUGUGGAGAAGCUGAUACAAGACCAUAAGGAGGAUCACAAGCUGAUUGUACUGGACGUGGGGUUGAAGCAUUGUGGACCUUGCGUGAAAGUCUAUCCCACAGUGAUCAAGUUGUCGAAGAAAAUGGACACGGCGGUGUUCGCUAGAAUGAACGGCGAUGAGAACGAGAGCUGUAUGCAGUUUUUGAAAGACAUGGACGUUGUCGAAGUGCCUACAUUUUUGUUCAUAAGAGAUGGAGAGAUUAAAGGUAGGUACGUCGGGUCGGGUAAAGGAGAGCUUAUUGGUGAGAUUCUUAGAUACCAAGGAGUUCGUGUUACUUAUUGAGUUUGAGGGUUAGGGAGUUUAGUUUCUAAUUAAUGGUGGGAUUUUGGUGUAUGACGGGUCUAUGAUGAGUUGUUUAUUAUGGUUUAAAUUCGGUGUCACUUUGAAAUAUGAUUCAAGUUGUGACAGGUCACCGUUAUAUAUAUAACCUCGACUAAGAUGUCAUAAAUUUUGAAUCUUUCCACCGAGAAAAA